ensembl:lncRNA
CACCUGUGGUGGGGAGUGGUCCACCCAUCAAUAGAGAUGGUCCGUUUGAAGCUGAAGCACCAGCGCAUGUGUCAAAAAAAAGACAACACAGUGUUUCAGAAGCACUGCAUCGACUGUAGUCAUAGAAAUCAAUAUUAGACCACCUUUGUUUUUUUCAAUUUCUUCUUGCCUGGCACCACUGAAGCGCGUGGAAGCAGGGACCUGACAGCACAACGACACUCCCAAGAUGCCACCAAAGAGGACUGUGUUGAGGAGCUUCCAGUAAUGAACCCUUUUUCGAUACAAGCUUCAGUGCUUCAGAAGGCUUCAGUUGGUCAUCACUUCCUAUCAGCUCAUCAUCCUGCUCCAUAUGAGCCUGGCUCAGACCAGGACAUGACUGUGGACCAUUGAAUGACUCUCAGUUGGUGACCACCCACCUGCUCUGCCAGCCCUCCAGAUCGCCACACAACUGCCAUCCAGCUUGGUUCUGCUGGAUCUUCGUUUCCAAAGCCACAGCUGGCCUGCACCAACUGAUUAUAACAUUCCAGCUGUAAUGCUGUGUCUGCCACGCUUCAUCCACAUUCAAACAAAUGUGGUGUACAUCACCGUAGAGGAUCUGCACAAAGCUGAAAUCAGCUAAGGCUGCUUCUCUCCAUUUACAUGUCCUUGUUCUGAGAAGUUACAGCCCACAGUUACUGACCAUUAGCCAAAGACUAGUAUGGAGUGGUGGGAAGAUCAGUUCUAGGUGUUCUGUUGAGUGUAAGCAGGUGUAGAGGUUUUUGAGUUUAAAUGAAUAAAAUC